GGCACAGGGGACACCGCACAGCAGUGACCCCACGCUCUACCGGGCUGCCCACCUCCAGCCCCACCUCAGGGCGGGCCGAGGGGGUGCCGGGGGCAGCGCAGCCGCCCCAGGGGCGCCGCGGGCGGAGCGGGGCGGGCGGCGCCAUGAGGCGACACCGCCACCGCCCCAAAAUGGCGCAGGCGGGGGGUGAAGGGCACCGGCGGGAGGGGGCGGCGGGAGCCGGCGGCGCCACUCACCUGCCGGGGCCCCGUCGCCUUUAUUCACAGAGCCGUAGAAUCGUCAAGGUUGGAAGACACCUUUAAGAUCAAGUCCAAGCGUCAACCGAGCCCUGCCACUGUAACCCCUAAAGCACCAAACCGCAUCGCCCAGCGCCAGGUCCAGACGCCUCUUAAACACCUCCAGGGAUGGCACGGCAGAAGGGACCGGCCACCACCGCGCUGCAACCUGCCUUCAGGUAGUUGCAUUGUUCUCCAGAAACACCGAUUGGUGAUGAUGUUUGCUCAGAAGGUUGGCACAUGCUCUAGGGGUCAGUUAUUUCCACAUAUUACACCAAAAUUGAUGGGGUGUUCCUGCACUGAACUGAACUGAAACCAACCUCCAAAGGCUGGAUGCCACCUGUGUGCUACCUUUUUUGCCACAAGUUAUCCCGAUCCUGAUUAUACAUGAGGCUUUGCAGGAUGAGCACCUUGCUGUUAAAAGCACAGUCACUUAUGCCGGCCUGCGUGGUGCUUUCAUGUCAGAAUGGGGGUUGUAUGAGUGGUGUGGAAAAUGCAGGGGUGAAUACAGAUUCAUUGGUAGCCUGCAGUGCAUCACUCGGUGCUUCUCCCAACUUUCCCUUUCAGGGUCAGCUUCCAGUCGUGGCCACACACCCAACACGUGACAGAAGAAUAAAUGCAGCUCAGUUAAAUUCUUUUGUCUUUUUUCAACCAAGUUACAAAAUAAUUACUCUCUCUCCCUUUACUUCAUUUUUGUCUUAAAUAGCAGUUUUCUGAUUUUCAUAGGAGUUUGAUCAUUGUUAUGCAACAUCAGGUUAGAUUAUCCUUGUUGUUUUAAUGCUUCUAAUAAUGAUUUUCUAGGUUCAUGAACAACAGAGCUCACUAUUUGUAGUGGUCAUUAUCUCUCUGAUUUGUGGUCACUUUCCGUGCAGAUGUUCCUGUGUACAGCUAUUUUGGUUGCUGUAUAAAUCAAAUUAUUUUGUCAAUGUAUCGACUGCACUGAGACUAAUCUGAAAUUUCUUGCAUAUGUUUCUUUUUUUGUCUUCUAAUGUACUUCCAUGUCAUCACUAAGAAGGUUUAUUGUCUUGUCCUGUGGUAGUAAGAAUCCCAGCAGUCUGGCUAAAAGGAACAGACCGAGCAAUUACAAAACUCACUAAGAAGUAAAUGAGGCAGCACUUACAUUGCAGAAUGCUUACCAUCAGUUCUGAUAACACAAGUGGCAAAAAAUGUUUGGUGGGGCUGAAAAUUGUGGUUUUAAAAGUAUGUUUGCAAAGCUAUCAUAAAAAGUAGGCAAGGAAAUGUAUUUUAUUAGCUGACUUUGAAAAUAUUUGUGUAACUCUGUUUGCAUCACUGUAUAUGUCCAUAUAUUUCUGCUUUUUUCAGAACGAUCUUGAGGUCAUUCAGAGCUCCUGGGAACUUAAGCUAUAUUUUUCUAGCUCUGAAGGCUCUGAGAAUGGUUUGUGUAACAGUCUAAUAAACAACCUAAUAAAGAAAGCAAAAAGCUGAGUAGAACUUUGUUCCUUUCCUGGAAAGGAAGAUCAGCAGAGUACGUCAGCAGGCAGAGAGAGAAAAAGGAGAAGUGUCCUGUCUGGAGCUGAAGAGGCUCAAGGGAAGAUUCACAGAGAUUUCUUACAAGAAAUGAAAUGUUAACAUUAGCGUUAAAAAGGAGUUCUUUCUGCAAGUGUGCCAUAAAUCCAAAAUAACUAACCGAAGUCAGUGCAGUUCCUGGGGAUUUGUGCUACUGUAAAUGAGAACAGAAUGGUCGUCUGACAACUCUAAAUUUUGUUUCACAUAUCCCUGGAUACCCUUGUUGUGUGCAACAAGACGUGGAGAUAUGAGCAGCGGGAUUUUAAAUGGUUUAUAAUUCCACUUAAAAUCAAGAGGAAAGGAGUGGAAAACAAACAGAACCUUUUUCUCUUCUGUGCCAUGUUCACACCAAAACAUCUGUCCAUCAGCUCUACUUCCUUCAAGUCCAGGAACACCGUGGUUAUGGGAGUGCUUAAAAAGCCUGCAAUUUUACUGUCAGAGGAUGCCGUUGACAUUCCUAGACAUGAAAAUACUUAAGAUUGCUGUAUGCUGGUUUUUGGGUUUUUUUUUUUACUCUAUAAAUGGCAUUCUGAACUGUGCUGCCUGUAUCAAAUAGCUCCUGGAACAUCCCUCCUAAUCAGUUCCUUUUGGGAGCAGGAUCGUCGGGCUCGUUCUGAAGCCGUGCCAGUGCCGGCAGUGCAUGGGGACUACAGAUGAGAUCUUUGUUACAGAAGCAUGAGAUCAAUUCACCAUUCCGGGCCAUGUAGUAAAUGCAUUCCUGGCUGAAUGUUACAUCGUUUUUAUUUUCCUGGGACAGCAUUGCACUGUGUCUCCUCUCUGAAAGAGCUAUGUUCAUUAGAUACAGGAAGUCCUGCUAAUCAUCCAUAACGUUACAUUAACAGCUGCUGGUGCGUCUUUGAAUGCCCAGUGAUGAGGGGAGAGUUUGCAAGAGAUUUGGUGCUUCUUUGCUGUGAUUGUUUUCUUCAGCAUGCUUCAGAAUCCGAAGUUCUGUAAAAAAAAAGGGCAGUUAAUCCUUAGGGUUGUGAGGAAAACUUUUAAAACAUGCACCAGAUGGAAAUCAAUGCAGUAGUGUCUUGCAAGCAGACAGAUAGGCUGAGAAGAAAUCUGAAGUCUGAUAUUAUUUGGAUUGAAGGAAAAAGAGCUGCAAAGCAGUCAUGCAACUUAGAUAUCAUCGAUACAGAAUAUGCAAGUCUGCAGUGAGCUCUGUCUCAUUUCAUAUCGUUGACAGCUUUGUUUUUGUCAGUGGCUCAAGAUAAACCCAAUUUUCUCUCCUGUUGAUUUGUGCUCCCUUUCUUUUGUAUAGACAACUUCCUUUGGCACAUGAUAGCUGACUCAGGAACAGAGCUGACCGGAAAAAAAAGAUUUCCAGUCUAUAGACAAUAAAUUUAUACUUCUGCCCUUGUUUUAUGCACAUUUUUUUACGAAAAGAAAAAAAAAAAAAGAGAGAGCAAAGAACAUGAUUAAUGAAUGGCGAGAUGUUUGAUUUGAACUGUUUUGACAUGUCUGAAACCCUUAUGUUGGAGUGGAUAAGCCUGGUGUCUGCUUUAUGUGUAGUGAAGUCUUCAGGAGUCUGUCCUGGGUGCCAUUGGUUACUCCUUAGCCCCAGUUUGGGAUCUUUGACACUUCUCUGUAGAUGAGAUAUAGCAGGAUUUCUGCACAUAAUUCUCCAGAACAAUCCAUUGUUCAUGUCACCAGGAUUCCUGCUUGUCCAACUCCAAUCCAGUUUAUGGGACAAACUCUCUGCUGACAGUGUUACUGCUUUUGGUAGAGGAAAUAUUAAUCCAACAUCCUCCUGGUCAUAGCAAAAUUAAUGGUAAAAUAAAUCCCAAGGUGGUUUACAGUGUUUCGGAGGAAAAAUACAUAGUAAAUCACAUCUUGUGCUCUUGAAUCCAGAUGAUUCCCCAAUGUCAGCAAUGAACAGGGGAUGUGGUUUCAGGGAGCUGGAUAUUCCAUGUGCCACAGAGGCGAUGUGGGCCAAAAGCACAUGAAAGCACAUUCAUUCCUGGUCCUUCCAACACAGGAAAGUGCCCAUAACCAUAACAACCUGCUAAGGAGUGAGAGCUCUGCCAAAUGAAUAGCACAGAGCUGAUAGCAACUGCUGGCUAAAACAGGUAGGCAGCUGGUAUCCAUGGAUGGCAUGGAGGGGAACUGCCCUAAGAGAUGGCAAAGGUAAAACAGUAAUAAUCAAAGAAAUGCCCAUCUGAUGAGUGUAGAUAUUUGCAUGCAGCACCUUCCAGCACACCUAGGUAGGUGCCUCACAGCUCUAGGUUGUUGAUACUCUGCAAGACCAUACAUGGUACCAUUUGCUUUAAUAGUAGCAAUUAGUGGGCCAGUACAAUAAACAGUGAUUUUAUGAAAAUGAGGACUGAUCCAUUCACAGAUGGAUCCGAGACAAAGAUUGAAUGCCAUGCUUGUCAUCAGUCAAUGCACUCCUCAAGGUGUUCAGUGUCCAGUGUAUGUUUUGCCAGAUAUUGUUAUGAGAUCCUUACAACAAACCAUUUAUUUUUGCACAUUAGCUGCAUUGCAGGUAGCCUGGGCUGUCAGUUAUACCUGCUGUAUGUUCUAGUGCAGGCAGGCAGAAGAGCAGGUCCCAGAAUGUGCUCACAAAAAAUCAUUUUGUCCCUCAUUUUUGCUUGAUUCACCCUUGCAGUGAGAUGCCAUAUGGCAUUGCAAUAGGCAGAGUUAGCAGUAGGAAGCUACAGAAAGGCAGCUUUAAAAGAGAAAUUCAUUCACCAUUGGAGUACAACUUCCAAGGUAAACCGUCUCAUGGUGGCUGAUAGUUAACUUGGUAUUUUUUGGAAGUUCAUAGACAAGUUGAUAGAUUCUACCAAGUCUCAGCUGUUAUGUACUGUGUGAUGCAAGGCAAGUGGGGGGUUAUCUGGGGAGAAGUGCAUGGCAGAAAACACAUUGGUUCCAGUCCUCCACUAUCUCCUGUCUCCUCUUCCCUGGUGUCCCUCCUGGUUCCCAGCAGGGAGUCUCAGGAAGACAAACUUCAGGCACCUUUUGUACCUGCAGUUCGGUGACAACAGGGCUGCUCCCUUGGUAUUCAAGGUGGUGUAGGGGAAAGAGGACUUAGGUUUCAUGUUUCUGCCUCUUCACCCUUCUUUUUACCCUCACCUCCCUUGAUUUUGGGAGUUCCAUGCUGCUGGGAGACAAGGAUGAGAGAUCUGGCUUUGAAAGAGAUGAAUCCUAGAACAGAACAGGAGCCUUCAGGCUGUUCUUUCUGCCUGGUCACAGGGAAUACAGUCAGUCUCUGCCGUCACCGGAUGCUACAUCCAGACAGGACAAGAUGUUUGAAGCCCUUGAGUGUUGUUAGUCUCCUGUCAGCCAACAGCACAAAAAAUGUAGCACUCGAGCUCCAAGUCCUGGAAAUCGGCGUUGAUUUAAUGAGAUUUCACAAUAAAUAAGCAUUUCAGUUUCCCUGCACUAUGAGUCUUUAAGGAUUUUGAGCUUUUCUGUGCAAACUUGGAGGCUUGAAAUGAAUUAUUUAGGUGAAAGAUGAGUCUUUCUUAUGAUUAUGAUUUCUUGUCUUUGUAUACUUAGACACCCAUUCCUGUAGGAUAAAGAAACAUAUCAGAAGACUUGCUUUGGUAUCCUUGAAUCUGGAAACAGCUGGUUUUUUUAAAGCUGGAUGCUGUUGUACCAGAGAAUGAGACUGCUGUGAAUCCUGGGUUUAGCUGCAGAAGUAAUUUUAACAGGCGCCCACAUGUGUUUAAUAAAGCCAGAUUUCCACCUUUCCAACUGCAGCUUUAGUCACAGCAGCAUAUUUUGUAGUUCCCUCUCAAGCUGAGCUUUAUGUGAUAGUAAUGGCAAUGUUGCUGAAGCAGGAAGAGUCGAAUCAAACACCAUUGCAAUCAAUCUCACAGUUCCCAGCUAGCAAACUGAGCAGGAAAGUGUUAAAUCUCCUCCAGCAACGCUGUAUGGGAGACCUCCAAUCAUCUUUACCAAGUAAAGUGGAUCCUCCAAAUUAGGUCAUCUGUUUGCUUCAUUCUGAAAGAUUUUUAUUAAAAUGAAAAAAUGUUUUCUGUUUCUUGUCCCAGAGAGAAAACAAACAUUGGCAUCUAGAGUGGUGGAAGACAAACACUUGGUGCUGGGCAACUUGAUUAAAGUGUAUUCCUUGUAAUGAGCGGUGCCUCCCUUAUCCUGCCAUUGUGUUCAGACAAGGAAAAAAAAAGGAGGGCCUGCCCUUUCCCAUUGUAUAGUCACAUUUUCCAAGUGCAGUAAAAAUGGGUUUUAUAAAAAGCCCUAAAAAAUAAAAAAAAAAAAAAAGAAAAAAAUGAACUCUGUCUUUUAGUAAACCACUGAAGCAACUCUUCAACAAAAACAAUCUUGUGCACCUUAUAUAUAGAAGAACUCCUGAAAUUAGUGCUCCAUCUAACCUACCAGAGAAGGAAGAUCAUACUGAUAAAAAAGGUUUGGGAUAAAUUUUUGUGAGCCUUCCUUAAAGGCUUGCUACUAGAAUCAAAGCUGAAUUUUACUUGGGGAAGGUAAUAAAGGAAAAAGUGAUUUGCAGUAGAA